rnacentral:rRNA from 1 species
AGUUCCGAUCCUGGCUCAGAUUGAACGCUGGCCGGGAUGCUUUACAUGCAAGUCAGACGGCAGCACGGACUUCAGUCUGGUGGCGAGUGGCGAACGGGUGAGUAAUGUAUCGGAACGUGCCUAGUAGCGGGGGAUAACCUACGCGAAAGCGUAGCUAAUACCAUACGCCCUUCGGGAAAGCGGGGGACCUUCGGGCCUCGCACUAUUAGAGCGGCCGAUAUCAGAGUUAGCUGAAUUGGUGGGAAUGGCUGGCUCGCAAGGCGCUGAUCGCCGGCUGGUUUGAGAGGACGACCAGCCACACUGGGACUGAGACACGGCCCAGACUCCUACGGGGAGGCAGCAGUGGGGAAUUUUGGAUAAUGGGGAAGCCUGAUCCAGCCAUCCGCGUGUGCGAUGAAGGCCUUCGGGUUGUAAAGCACUUUGGCAGGAAAGAAACGGCACGGGACCCAAUACCCCAGUACAUGACGACCUGCAGAAUAAGCACCGGCUAACUACGUACCAGCAGCCGCGGUAAUACGUAAGUGCAAGCGUUAAUCGGAAUUACUGGGCGUAAAGCGUGCGCAGGCAGUUCGGAAGAAAAGAUGUGAAAUCCCAGAACUUAACUUUGGAACUGCAUUUUCGCUACCGAGCUAGAGUGUGUGGAGGAGGUGGAAUUCCGCGUGUAGCGGUGAAAUGCGUAGAUAUGCGGAGAACACCGAUGGCGAAGAAGGCAGCCUCCUGGGAUAACACUGACGCUCAUGCACGAAAGCGUGGGGAGCAAACAGGAUUCGAUCCCUGGUAGUCCACGCCCUAAACGAUGUUCGCUGUUAGGCGCUUCGGGCCUUGGUAGCGCAGCUAACGCGUGAAGUUGACCGCCUGGGAGAUCUGGUGCAAGAUUUAAACUCAAAGGAAUGGCAGGGAUUCACCCUGACGAUGGAUGAUGGUUAAUUCGAUGCAACGCGAAAACCUUACCUACCCUUGACAUGUCUGGGUGAAGAGAUUUGGGAGUGCUCGCAAGAAACCGGAACCUGGUGCUGCAUAGCUGUCGUCAGCUCGUCGUGAGAUGUUGGGUUAAGUCCCGCAACAGCGCAACCCUUGUCAUUAGUUGCUACGAAGGGCACUCCUAAUGAGACUGCCGGUGACAAACCGGAGGAAGGUGGGGAUGACGUCGAUCCUCUUGGCCCUUAUGGUGAGGCUUCCACACGUCAUACAAUGGUGGGACGGAAGGUCGCCUUCCGCGAGGGGGAGCCAAUCCAGAAACCCGAUCGUAGUCGGAUCGCAGUCUGCAACUCGACUGCGUGAAGUCGGAAUCGCUAGUAAUCGCGGAAUCAGCAUGUCGCGGUGAACUCGUUCCCGGGUCUUGUACACACCGCCCGUCACACCAUCGGGAGAUGGGUUUUACCAAAGUAAGUUAGCCUAACCGUAAGGAGGCGAUUACCACGGUAGGAUUCAUGACUGGGAAUUGAAGUCGUAACAAAGGUAAA